AAAAGUCGUAACAAGGUUUCCGUAGGUGAACCUGCGGAAGGAUCAUUAACACGUAUCCAAACGUUAAAACCCCAUAGCGCUUCACGAUUCCUGUAGACCGUACACUCGGGCAGGAGCUAUGCCAAAGGGUCCCCAUGCCCCCUAAUAACCCCACAGUUUAAUGUGAAGCUCAAUGUAAUACAUUGGGUGAAAAUACUUGAACAACUGAUAACAAUAGAUAUCUUCGUUCUC
rnacentral:misc_RNA from 1 species